rnacentral:lncRNA from 1 species
AGCUUCUCCGAAGAGAAACAAAGCGGCGGCCACGACGGUCGACUGUCACGACGGGUGAUGGGCUCGGAGGUGAGGGGAGAGGAGAGCGGCCGCCUGAACCCCGGGCCCACAAGAGAGGUGGCAGCAUGCCCCGGGCCUCCUUGUGAUGUCAGGAGGCUGGACAGCCAAGAAAGAAGAAAAUGGACUCCCUCCUUCUGAAGACUUGCCUGGAAGCCAGCCCCGAGUGCUGGAGUGCACAGCGCCUCCAACGAGAACAGCUAAGAGGAAGUGCUGUUACCCGCCUACCUGCCCAGCUCCAGAUUGAGGCCUCUCAGUGGACCUGCUUUUCCAGUGCAUCUGAAACUCACCCUGCCUGGAUCUCACCUUGACCCCCAAGAUCCCAAAGAAACCGAGUCUUAUAUAGCCCAGGCUGGCCUUUCAAACACACUAUGUAGUCAAGAUUGACCUAAAACUGCUGUCACUGCCUAAGUGCUGGUAUCAUAGGUGUAA